CCGUAAACGUUGGGCACUAGGUGUGGGUCCAUUCCACGGGCUUUGUGCCGCAGCAAACGCAUUAAGUGCCCCGCCUGGGGAGUACGGCCGCAAGGCUAAAACUCAAAGAAAUUGACGGGGGCCCGCACAAGCGGCGGAGCAUGCGGAUUAAUUCGAUGCAACGCGAAGAACCUUACCAAGGCUUGACAUACACCGGAAACUUCCAGAGAUGGUUGCCCCGCAAGGUCGGUGUACAGGUGGUGCAUGGUUGUCGUCAGCUCGUGUCGUGAGAUGUUGGGUUAAGUCCCGCAACGAGCGCAACCCUCGUCCCAUGUUGCCAGCGAGUCGUGUCGGGGACUCAUGGGAGACUGCCGGGGUCAACUCGGAGGAAGGUGGGGAUGACGUCAAAUCAUCAUGCCCCUUAUGUCUUGGGCUUCACGCAUGCUACAAUGGCCGGUACAAAGGGUUGCGAUGCCGUGAGGUGGAGCGAAUCCCAAAAAGCCGGUCUCAGUUCGGAUUGGGGUCUGCAACUCGACCCCAUGAAGUCGGAGUCGCUAGUAAUCGCAGAUCAGCAACGCUGCGGUGAAUACGUUCCCGGGCCUUGUACACACCGCCCGUCAAGUCACGAAAGUCGGUAACACCCGAAGCCGGUGGCCCAACCCUUGUGGGGGGAGCCGUCGAAGGUGGGACUGGCGAUUGGGACUUUU
rnacentral:rRNA from 1 species